rnacentral:ncRNA from 1 species
CAACCUGAGAGUUUGAUCCUGGCUCAGAGCGAACGCUGGCGGCAGGCCUAACACAUGCAAGUCGAACGAA